UGUAGAUUCGAUGGCUGUAUGUAGCACGGGCGCGGCGCGCGGCGCGGCGUCGAUCCUGACGCGUAAAGUUGACCGCGCGCGCGGAAACGAAGCCGGCUCGCCAUCUUGUCUCGUAUUCACGUCUGAUUGCAGAACGCGGCGGGCGCGGGACGAAUCGGAACCUGAGCGAGUGGCGUCGCAGCUUGUUUAAUAGAAUGCGCUGGACACUUUUACAAGACACGGGACGAAAUGAUUCCGGAAUGAAUGGUAUCGCGAUUUUAAUUGGUAAACGACACUUAUGUUAAUAUUAUGCUUUAUAUGAUAUCUAAUAUAUUGAAAAAAAAGAAGUGGCAUUCGUACGCUGAUAAUUUGCUCGAACGCGUAUUUCGUAAUACUUAUUGGAACGAAGAUCGAAAUGUAUACUGCCGUCGCGACGCUCGUCAAGUUAACUUCAGAAAACGAAGAGAUUGUAUUAAUUGUAUUCACGUUUAUAUUACGUGGCGGAUGCGAGACAGAUCUGCUUCGAAACGAAUAGCAUCGCAACUGACAACUUGUGAGAAGAAGGAAGAAAAGAGAUUAAAUUAACAAUUUCAAAGCCGGAGAAGAAAGCUUAGGAGAGCCAUCGGUGGAGCAACAUAGUGAUUCAUUGUAGCUACGUUGCUGACAACUCCAUUGUUGCGCAUCGGACAGUAGAUAUUCUCCGAAAUGGAAAUCGACGAGAGGAAGACAAAUCAUCCAUUGUCGCCGAAUUAUAAAAGAAACGAACCGCAGUCUGUUCGUCGCGUCGCACGUUUUAAUAUUUUGCGAGUGCCGUUUAAGUUAUUGAAGUUAGACUCUUGUAAAUGAUAGUCCGCGGGCGAUUUUAGUAUAGUGUCGCGAGUGUUUUUCGCGAGUGUGCAACAGAAGAAAGAGAAGAAGGAAGAGGUUUGCCUAUUCAAGUAUUCUGAGAGGAGGAGAUGGCCUGGGAGAGGCAUCGGGCCUCAGCGGAGCAACCUUGGGUAUCAUCGCAGCUUCGUGGCUGAUUAACUCCGCUCGUUGCGCAUCAGGUCGGUGAGUCAAAAUCAUCAAUUUUUUAAUUUCUGCUUUCAAUGUUGUGCAAUGUUUUGUGAAAGAUCAAAGAGAGGAACACUGAAAAAGAAGUUUGAUAAUAGCUUCAAUGAUGGGUGAAAUAAAACUAAAUAAUUAAAUAUUUGAUUAAUAUAAUCAAAAAUUUUACUUUUCUAAACAUUUUGUAAAUUACUAAAUUUGAUAAUACUUGCUAAAUAUUCAAAGGAGUAAAAAUAUUUUUGGUCAUAUUAAUUACACAAAUGUUUAAUUGGUAUUAUCAUUUUACUCAACAUAUCUUUCAUAACUAUUGUCAAACUCUUUUUCAGUAGACCCAGACAAG